rnacentral:rRNA from 1 species
GAUGAACGCUGGCGGCGUGCCUAAUACAUGCAAGUCGAGCGAACGGACGAGAAGCUUGCUUCUCUGAUGUUAGCGGCGGACGGGUGAGUAACACGUGGAUAACCUACCUAUAAGACUGGGAUAACUUCGGGAAACCGGAGCUAAUACCGGAUAAUAUUUUGAACCGCAUGGUUCAAAAGUGAAAGACGGUCUUGCUGUCACUUAUAGAUGGAUCCGCGCUGCAUUAGCUAGUUGGUAAGGUAACGGCUUACCAAGGCAACGAUGCAUAGCCGACCUGAGAGGGUGAGCGGCCACACUGGAACUGAGACACGGUCCAGACUCCUACGGGAGGCAGCAGUAGGGAAUCUUCCGCAAUGGGCGAAAGCCUGACGGAGCAAUGCCGCGUGAGUGAUGAAGGUCUUCGGAUCGUAAAACUCUGUUAUUAGGGAAGAACAUAUGUGUAAGUACCUGUGCACAUCUUGACGGUACCUAAUCAGAAAGCCACGGCUAACUACGUG